CAGAACCAGAAGUACAGAAUGACUCUUGCAUCAGGGAGUUAUGAAUGCAGCAGGACUGGUCUCCGUAUUGAAUGCUCUCGUGACAUUCAGCUUGAGUAUCACAUUUGUGACUGGGAGUGUGUAGGUGAUUUUCCAGAAAUGGAGCAUUUUACACCGUGUGGCCCCUUGAUGGAUAUUGCCGUCAUCUCUGGAGAACUGAAGGCAGUCUAUCUACCCCACUUUCUGUGUUUAGGUGGAUUUCUCAUUAAAGAUGAAGUGAGAAUUCUUCAUUUUGAAGACAGUGGAAUUGCAUUUGAGAAAUGCAAGUUAACUAGAUUCCAUGCCAAACUUCUGGACCACACCUUUUCCCCUAAAGGUGUUUUUUUGAGGAGUGGCUUCUCUGUGAAUUAUCAUUGUGAAACACUUAUCUAUCAAACUUUGAAAUCACACCUGACACUUCAUGUGUACUUGAUUCCAAGUGAUAAAAAAAUGAUAGAGGCUGUUCAAGAAAAUGAGGCUGAUAGCAAGGCUAUCACAAAGCCAGGACCGGAAUCUUCACUACAGACGAAAACUUGGUUUUCACUGAGGACACUGGAGAAAAUGAGGAAAUCUGACUCUAAUUCUGAAGUCAUAC